UGAACGCUGGCGGCGUGCCUAAUACAUGCAAGUCGAGCGAACAGACGAGGAGCUUGCUCCUCUGACGUUAGCGGCGGACGGGUGAGUAACACGUGGAUAACCUACCUAUAAGACUGGGAUAACUUCGGGAAACCGGAGCUAAUACCGGAUAAUAUAUUGAACCGCAUGGUUCAAUAGUGAAAGACGGUUUUGCUGUCACUUAUAGAUGGAUCCGCGCCGCAUUAGCUAGUUGGUAAGGUAACGGCUUACCAAGGCGACGAUGCGUAGCCGACCUGAGAGGGGGAUGGCCCCCAUGGGAACGGGGCCACGGCCCAGCUCCCCCGGGGGGGCAGGAGGGGGGAUCUUUCGCAAAGGGGGAAAGUUUUGCGGGGCCAACCCGCGUGGGGGGAGGAAGUCUUGCGGUCUGAAAAACCUUUUUUUAGGGGAAAAAAAAAUGUUAAAGUAACGUUCCCGGGUUGGAGGGUACCAAAACAAAAAGCCCCGGCUACCCCCGU
rnacentral:rRNA from 1 species